rnacentral:rRNA from 1 species
ACAUUAUUCUAGCCCAAACUUAACCAAAUUCAACUACCCAAAUAACCUUAAAUCAAAACAUUUAUUAAUAAAAUAAAGUAUAGGUGAUAGAAAUAUUUUUUGGCGCUAUAGAGAAAGUACCGUAAGGGAAAGACUGAAAAAAUCCUAAGUACAAAAAAGCAAAGAUUAAACCUUUUACCUUUUGCAUAAUGAACUAACUAGAAAAUAAUAACAAAACGAACUUUAGUUAUUUUUCCCGAAACCAAACGAGCUACCUAAUAACAAUUUUAUGAAUGAACCCAUCUAUGUGGCAAAAUAGUGGGAUGAUUACUAGGUAGAGGUGAAAAACCUAACGAGCUUGGUGAUAGCUGGUUACCCUAUAAAUGAAUUUUAGUUCAACUUUAAACUUACUUCAAAGACUUAACACUACAAACGUAAGUUUAAAAUAUAGUUUCAAGGGGGACAGCCCUUGAAACACAGGAUACAACCUUCUCUAGAGAAUAACAUAACACUAUUUACAUCCUUAGUUGGCCUAAAAGCAGCCACCAAUAAAGAAAGCGUUCAAGCUCAACAUUUUCUUUUUUCCAAUCCCAUUAAUUUACUGAACUUCCUAGAAUAUUAUAGGGUCAAUCUAUUACAUUUACCAAAUAGAUGAGAUAAUGUUAGUAUGAGUAACAAGAAUAACUUCUCCCCACACAAGUGUAUAACAGCACGAAUACUCACUGUUAGUUAACAAAACAAUAGAAAUACACCAAAUUUUAACUCACCUAUUAUUUUAUUGUUAACCCAACACAGGUGUGUACUUAAGGAAAGAUUAAAAAGGGUAAAAGGAAUUCAGCAAACACAAACCUCGCCUGUUUACCAAAAACAUCACCUCUAGCAUUUCUAGUAUUAGAGGCACUGCCUGCCCAGUGACUAACGUUUAACGGCCGCGGUACCCUGACCGUGCAAAGGUAGCAUAAUCAUUUGUUCCUUAAUUAGGGACUUGCAUGAAUGGCUACACGAAGGUUUUACUGUCUCUUAUCCUCAAUCAGUGAAAUUGACCUACCCGUGAAGAGGCGGGUAUGAAAUAAUAAGACGAGAAGACCCUAUGGAGCUUUAAUUAACUAGCUCAUUUUUAAUCUACUGUAAUUUAAUUCUGAGCUAUAAAUUUUGGUUGGGGUGACCUCGGAGAAAAAAAAAUCCUCCGAAUGACUAAAAUUUAGGCUAACGUGCCAAAAUAAACCUUGUCAAUUAUUGACCCAAAAAUAAUUUGAUCAACGGACCAAGUUACCCUAGGGAUAACAGCGCAAUCCUAUUUAAGAGUCCUUAUCGACAAUAGGGUUUACGACCUCGAUGUUGGAUCAGGACAUCCUGUUGGUGCAGCAGCUAACAAGGGUUCGUUUGUUCAACGAUUAAAGUCCUACGUGAUCUGAGUUCAGACCGGAGUAAUCCAGGUCGGUUUCUAUCUAUUAUAAUAAUUUCUCCCAGUACGAAAGGACAAGAGAAAUAGAGCCCACUUUACUUAAGCGCUCUUAAAUAUUAUAUGAAUUCAUCUCAAUAUAUUUUAUACAAACACAGCCCAAGACAAGGGCUUA